AUUGAACGCUGGCGGCAGGCCUAACACAUGCAAGUCGAACGGUAACAGAGAGUAGCUUGCUACUCUGCUGACGAGUGGCGGACGGGUGAGUAAUGUCUGGGGAUCUGCCUGAUGGAGGGGGAUAACUACUGGAAACGGUAGCUAAUACCGCAUAAUGUCGCAAGACCAAAGCGGGGGACUUUCGGGCCUCGCACCAUCGGAUGAACCCAGAUGGGAUUAGCUAGUAGGUAGGGUAAUGGCUUACCUAGGCGACGAUCCCUAGCUGGUCUGAGAGGAUGACCAGCCACACUGGAACGGAGACACGGUCCAGACUCCUACGGGAGGCAGCAGUGGGGAAUAUUGCACAAUGGGCGCAAGCCUGAUGCAGCCAUGCCGCGUGUAUGAAGAAGGCCUUCGGGUUGUAAAGUACUUUCGGUCAGGAGGAAGGGUGUGAAAUUAAUACUUUCAUGCAUUGACGUUACUGACAGAAGAAGCACCGGCUAACUCCGUGCCAGCAGCCGCCGUAA
rnacentral:rRNA from 1 species